GCUCUAACCAUUUAACCUGUUCAU
rnacentral:miRNA from 1 species